rnacentral:misc_RNA from 1 species
GAAAUGCGAUAAGUAGUGUGAAUUGCAGAAUUCAGUGAAUCAUCAAAUCUUUGAACGCACAUUGCGCCCCUUGGUACUCCAUGGGGCAUGCCUGUUCGAGCGUCAUUUGUACCCUCAAGCUCUGCUUGGUGUUGGGUGUUUGUCCCGUCUCCGCGCGUGGACUCGCCCCAAAGUGAUUGGCAGCCGGCGUACUGGUCCCGGAGCGCAGCACAUGUCGCGCAAACGAGUGCCUUGGUACGGCGGCGUCCAUAAGCCCCUCUCUCACGCUCUUGACCUCGGAUCAGGUAGGGAUACCCGCUGAACUUAAGC